CAGUCGCCGCGGUAAAACGUAGGUGGCAAGCGUUGUCCGGAAUUAUUGGGCGUAAAGCGUGCGUAGGCGGUGAGUUAAGUCUGCUGUGAAAUCCCCGGGCUCAACCUGGGAACUGCAUUUGUGACUGCAUGGCUAAAGUGUGUCAGAGGGGGGAAGAAUUCCACGUGUAGCAGUGAAAUGCGUAGAUAUGUGGAGGAAUACCGAUGGCGAAGGCAGCCCCCUGGGAUAACACUGACGCUCAUGCACGAAAGCGUGGGGAGCAAACAGGAUUAGAUACCCCAGUAGUCCCUGUCUCUUAUAC
rnacentral:rRNA from 1 species